rnacentral:snoRNA from 1 species
AAAGCAGGCUGCAAUUACAGUGCUUCAUUCUGUGGGAGUACUGCCAUUUCCCUGCUGAGAGUAACUCUGCUAAUGCUGUCUUUGGUUUCAUCUAUACGGUGCUGAAACCAUUUGUUCUUAGCAUUUACAAGU